rnacentral:rRNA from 1 species
UGAUGGAUGGACCCGCGGUGCAUUAGCUAGUUGGUGAGGUAACGGCUCACCAAGGCCACGAUGCAUAGCCGACCUGAGAGGGUGAUCGGCCACAUUGGGACUGAGACACGGCCCAAACUCCUACGGGAGGCAGCAGUAGGGAAUCUUCGGCAAUGGACGAAAGUCUGACCGAGCAACGCCGCGUGAGUGAAGAAGGUUUUCGGAUCGUAAAACUCUGUUGUUAGAGAAGAACAAGGAUGAGAGUAACUGUUCAUCCCUUGACGGUAUCUAACCAGAAAGCCACGGCUAACUACGUGCCAGCAGCCGCGGUAAUACGUAGGUGGCAAGCGUUGUCCGGAUUUAUUGGGCGUAAAGCGAGCGCAGGCGGUUUCUUAAGUCUGAUGUGAAAGCCCCCGGCUCAACCGGGGAGGGUCAUUGGAAACUGGGAGACUUGAGUGCAGAAGAGGAGAGUGGAAUUCCAUGUGUAGCGGUGAAAUGCGUAGAUAUAUGGAGGAACACCAGUGGCGAACGCGGCUCUCUGGUCUGUAACUGACGCUGAGGCUCGAAAGCGUGGGGAGCAAACAGGAUUAGAUACCCUGGUAGUCCACGCCGUAAACGAUGAGUGCUAAGUGUUGGAGGGUUUCCGCCCUUCAGUGCUGC